CCAGCUACUUUUUCAGCUAUGGGGAAAUUCACCCUCAAACCCCAGGUUUCCUGAGCAAUCUCUUCCUAGUCCCCAAGAAAGGUGGAGGCAUUCGACCUGUCAUCAAUCUACGACCUCUAAACGUUUUUGUCAUAUACCAACAUUUCAAGAUGAGGGGUAUUCACUUUCUUCGAGACCUUCUCCUUUUGGAGGAUUGGAUGGUCAAUCUCGACUUACAGGAUAUAUACCUCACCGUUCCGAUGGCCGAGGACUCACCAAGAAUUCCUGCAAUUUACGGUGGGAAUAGACCAUGUGGCAAUUCAAAUGCCUUCCAUUCGGUGUCUCUACUGCCCCAUGGUGCUUCAUAAAACUACUGAAACCAGUAGUGGCCCUUCUGCGCAGCAGAGGAGUUCGCCUCAUUUAUACUUGGACGAUAUCUUCGUAAUGGCACAGGACCCUCACAAGUGCCACGUACACCUGUCCAGGACGAUGACUCUCCUGAGCAACCUAGGUUUCCUUCAAUUGGGAAAGGUCGGUCUUCAAACCUUCUCAAUCCAUAGAAUUUAAUGUCCAGGACACUCCUACUACCACCCACCAAGAUCAAAUCCAUAAAGAAUGAAUCCGUCGGACGCUAGCCUGUCCUUUCCUGACCGCUGGCCAGGAUCAUCGGCCUUCUCUCAGCACUGAUUCAAGCCAUUUCUCCCGGCCCGCUCUAUUACAGAACACUUCAACGACUGAAAGCCAAACACAUUCGUCAUUCUUAUUCGGACUCUGUUCCUCUCGACUGCACAGCCAAAGAGGAACUUCAGUGGUGGCUACAUGGAGGCGUGGAACGGUCAACCAAUCUUGGGAACCGCUCAAGACUUCAUCAUAGAAUCAGAUGCAAGUACGCUCGGCUAGGGGGCGCACGCUGCGGGCCUACCUCCACUGGGGGGAAAUGGUGCCUGGAAGAACAAGAAAUGCAUAUCAAUUUCCUCGAACUGCUGGCAGGCUUAUUUGCCCUACGGAGCCUCUUGGGUGUACCAACCAAUUGCUUUUACAGAAGGACAACAUCUCAGCAGUCCGGUACAUCAACCACCUCGGGGACACAAAGUUAACUAUUUUGGCAAACCAAGCAAUGGAAUUCUGGUAAUUCUGCCUGGAUCGCAAUAUCUCGGUGCCAGCGGAGUACAUUCCAGGGAGGUCCAACAUAUUGGCAAAUUGGAACUCCAGACACUUACGGGAUGCCACCGAUUGGCGGC